CCGCUCCCUCAGCACAUAUACUAAAAUUGUAACGAUGCAGAGAAGAUUAGCAUGGCCCUUGCACAAGCAGUCAUUUUGUUCUGAUGACAGUGUCCUUUGUUU